GCCCUCAUAGCUCAGUUGGUAGAGCGCAUUCUUGGUAAGAAUGAGGUCAUCGGUCCGAAUCCGAUUGAGGGCU
rnacentral:tRNA from 2 species